CAAAGAUGAAGAGAAAGGCUUUAAAGUGUGUAAGAAGGCUUACAGUGGACUGCCAAAUAAGACUUCAAUAACUUUAAAUGGAUGAACACUAGGCUCCCACCGAUAAAAAUAUGACAGAAUAUAAGCUCAAAAGUGUUUGAAAUAAGAAAACACUUAUUUUAUAGUGUGCACAAAGUAAAUUAGACAGGGUUUCCUUGCAAUUUCUCUUGCAAAUAAG
rnacentral:lncRNA from 1 species